rnacentral:rRNA from 1 species
UACAGAGGUCUCAAGCGUUGUUCGGAUUCAUUGGGCGUAAAGGGUGUGUAGGUGGCGCCGUAAGUGGGGUGUGAAAUCUCGGGGCUUAACUCCGAAACUGCAUUCCAUACUGCGGUGCUUGAGGACUGGAGAGGAGACUGGAAUUCAUGGUGUAGCAGUGAAAUGCGUAGAGAUCAUGAGGAAGACCAGUGGCGAAGGCGGGUCUCUGGACAGUUCCUGACACUGAGGUGCAAAAGCGUGGGGAGCAAACAGG